UUCCCGGACGAUCACCGAAGUUAAACAACGUCGAGCCUGGUCAGUACAUAAAUGGGUGACCGCUUGAGAAUACCAGGUGCUGUAAG